rnacentral:misc_RNA from 1 species
GAUGAAGAACGUAGCGAAAUGCGAUACGUAAUGUGAAUUGCAGAAUUCAGUGAAUCAUCGAAUCUUUGAACGCACCUUGCACCCUUUGGCAUUCCGAAGGGUAUGCUCGUUUGAGUGUCAUUGUACUCUCACACUCUCCGAUCCUAUGGAUUCGGGGAGCGGUGGACUUGGGUGUUGCUGCCUUUCCCUGUGGCUCACCUCAAAUGCGUCAGUGCACCUCUUGGUUGGACAUAGUACGGCGUGAUAAGUGUCUUCGCCGGCACCUCGCAAGAGGGUGGCCGAUCGGGAGCUCUGCGCUUUCAAACCGUCUUCGGACAAUUUCUGACAUCUUGACCUCAAAUCGAGUAGGACUACCCGCUGAACUUAAGCAUAUCAAUAAGCGGAGGA